rnacentral:lncRNA from 1 species
CAAAUUUUUUUUGUAUUAAGUUAAUCAAAGAGUUCCAAAGUUGAACUGCUUCCACAUAGGAUAUAGAAAGCAGCAAGAGAUUUACACUUUUGUUACAAAAUCAACACUUUAACAUCCAUCAGAGAGCUGAGGGCAUAAAUGUAAAUUAACUGAAUUCUAGAGAGGGGCCCUUCCUGGGAGAGAGGAAUCUCACAGCUGCUUCCCUCUCCAGGGACAUGACGGAAGAAGAAAAUGAUGGGGUGCCAUUUAAUCCUGAGACAUCUCUGAGAUAUGAAAAUAAACAACACAAUUUUACAGAACUAAGGCUCAGAUUGCUGUAGGACACACCUGAGGCCACACAGUUCAGCCAGUCUCUGGUAUCCAAUAAACUAGAACAGCCCAAAAAGAGAUCACUGCUUCAAGGGGGCCAGGGCUGGCUCAGGAUGGUAGAGGGUAAGGCUGAAGGACGCAGCUCAGCCUCUGAUCCGGGGAAGCUCUCUGGCUGGGGGUGGGAUGGAGAAAAUAGACCCGGAGACUCACAAACAGCAAUGAGAGAGAGGGGCCCAGAGGGUCCAUCAGACCCUGCCUUGAGAGUCAAAAGAACAUUCCCGGCAGAUGUAUAACCACAGAGGCACAGCCUGGAAUUGAUGAUAGGAGCAGCAGUGAGUGGAUAGAAUUGAAGAGCCCUCAUCUUGGACGCCUUGAGAUCGUAGAUGAAUAUUUUAGGGGUUUAAACAUGAUCAGGGGUGCAUUAGAGCAAUGUGAAGCAUUGGAAGACGAAGGUGGGGCAUUUGAGUUGACUUUUGAAGGAUUGUUGGAGGCAUCAUGCUCCCUGAUUUCAAACGAUAUUACAAAGUCAUAGUAACAAAAGCUAUGGUCCUGGCACAAAAACAGACGCAUGGAUCAAUGGAAGAGGAGAGAGAGCCCAAAAAUAAACCAAUACACAUAUGGUCAGAAAAAGGAGCCAAGAAUAUACAAAGGAGAAAGGACAGUCUCUUCAACAAAUGGUAUUGGGAAAACUGGACUGCUCCCUUACAACAUACACAAAAAUCAACUGGAAAUGGAUUAAAGACUUGAAUGUAUGACCUGAAGCCACAAAGCACCCAGAAGAAAACACAGACAAUAAGCUCCUUGACAUUGGUCAUGGCAACCAUUUUUUAUAUUUAACACCAAAAGCAGGCAACAAAGGCAAAAAUAAAUAAGUGGGACUACAUCAAACUAAAAAGCUCCGCACAGCAGAGGAAACCACCAACAAAAUAAAAAGGCAAACUACAGAAUGGGAGAAAAUAUUGCAAAUCAUUUAUCUGGUAAGAGGUUAAUAUCCAAAAUAGAGAAAGAAAUCAUACAACUCAAUAGCAAAAAAACUCAAAAACAAUCCGAUCAAAAACUGGGCAGAGGAACCAAACAGAUAUUUUCCCAAAGAAGACACACAAACACCCAGUAAGUACAAGAAAAGGUGCUCAACGUCACCAAUUGCCAGGGAAAUGCAAAUCAAAACCACAGUGAGAUAUCACCGCACACCUGUUGAAAAUACUGUCAUCAAGAAGAUAAGACAUUAACAAGUGCUGACAAGGAUGUGGAGAAAAGGGAACCCUUGGGCACUGUUAGUAGGAAUGUAAAUUGGUGCAGCCACUAUGGAAAACAGCAUGGAGGUUCCUCAAAACAUUAAAAAUAGAGGGGCCAGCCCUGUGGCCUAGUGGUCAAGUUUGGUGCACUUCACUUCAGUGGCCCAGGUUUGGUUCCCAGGCACAGACCUACACCACUUGUGAGCGGCCAUGGUGUGGUGGCAUCCCAUAGACAAAAUAGAGGAAGAUUGGCACAGAUGUUAGCUCAGGGUGACUCUGCCUCAGCAAAUUAAUUAAUUAAAAAAUAAAAAGGUAAAAAUAGAAGUCUCGUAUGACCCAGCAAUUCCACGUCUGGGUGUACAUCCAAAGGAAUUGAAAUCACUCUCUUGAAGAGGUAUCUGCAAUGGUAUUGGGAUUAUUAGCUGCAGCAUUAUUCACAACAGACAAGACAUGGAAAAAGUGUCCAUUGACACAUGAAUGGAUAAAAAGAAUGUGAUUGAAAUAUAUAUGCAUACACACACAAUGGAAUAUUAUUCAGCCAUGAGAAAGGAAAUUUUUGCCAUUUAUAACAACGUGGAUGGAUCUUAAGGGCAUUAUGCUUAAAUGAAAUAAGUCAGACAGAGAAAGACAAAUACUGUGUUAUCUCACUUAUAUGUGAAAUUUAAAAAGGAAAAAAACCAAACUCACAGAAACAGAGAAUAAAUAGGUGGUUGCCAGAGGCAGCGAGUAUGGGGUGGGGAAAAUGGGUGAAAAUGGUCAAAGGGUACAGAUUUUCAGCGGUAAGAUAAAUAACUUCUGGGGAUGUGAUGCACAGCAUCCUGUAUUGUAUAUUUGAAAGUUGCUAAGAGGGUAGAUCUUAAAAGUGCUCAUCACAAGAAAAAAAUUGUAACUGUGUGAUGUGAUAGAUGUUAAUUGAGCUUAUGGUGAUCAUUUCUCAAUCUAUUCCUAUAUCAAAUCAUUAUGUUGUACCCUAAAUUAAUAAAAUGCUAUAUGUCAAUUGCAUAUCAAUAAAAUUGGGGAAAAAAUUUAAAUUAAGUGAUCUACACACCACUAGUACAGUAUUACAGCCACCCCUGGUGGUCUAGUGAUUAGGUUUGGCACUCUCCCCACUGUGGCCUGGGUUCAUUUCCUGGUCAGGGAACCACACCACCUGUCUGUUGGUUGUCGUUCUGUGGUGGCUGUGUGUUGCUGUGAUGCUGGAAGCUCUGCCACCAAUAUUUCAAAUACCAACAGGGUCACCCAUGGUGGACGGGUUUCAGCAGAGCUUCCAGACCAAGACAGACUAGGAAGAAGAACCUGGACACUCAGUCCCGAAAAAUUGGUCAUGAAAACCCUAUCAAUAGCAGCAGAGCACUGUCUGAUAUAGAGCCAGAAGCUUUGUGUUGGUGUCUGAACAUGUGAAGAGACAGCCACCUCUCCCAGGCUUUGUGGACUGGCUUCACCAGCAACAGACCUUCACCAAUCUGCCUGGCUAGAGAUUCUGGGAGCCUCUCAAACACUUUCUAUGGACGUGCACACUCUACUCCUCUCCCUCCUGUGGGAGAAAUCUCAUGGUUGUGCACCUUCUUCCAAUCUCACAGAGCUGUGCUGGCCACAGUAAACCACCUCCCCUUUUCUUUCUUCUUAGCUUCCCCCAGGCAUCCACACUCUGCCAAUGCCCUCAGGGCUCUGGGUGGGGCAAGACAGAAGCACAUCCUUCAGGCAGAACCCCCAAAAGCCAAAGAUGUUGGAUGCAUGCCCCACACUCUCUUUCCCCUGAGACAGAGGCGAUCUCUCUUGGCCCUGAGCAGUGCAGACUUGGGGGAGGGGCUGAUGUAGGGGAAGUGAAAUUGCUCUUAUCCAUUUCAAUGCAGCUGUUCUCAGUUUUGUGCUUUUCUGGGCUACUGCAACUUCUUAACUGGGUUCUGGACUUCUCCACAAGGUAUUUUGGUCCAUAUAUUGUUAAAUCUUUGUUUCUUUGGCAGUAUGAGGGCUGGGACUUCCUAUUCCACCAUCUUGCCCAUGUCGCACCACAUAGUUAUUUUAAUAUGUUG